rnacentral:rRNA from 2 species
ACGGGAGGCAGCAGUGGGGAAUUUUGCGCAAUGGGGGGAACCCUGACGCAGCAACGCCGCGUGCGGGAUGAAGGCCUUCGGGUUGUAAACCGCUUUCAGCAGGGACGAUUAUGACGGUACCUGCAGAAGAAGCUCCGGCUAACUACGUGCCAGCAGCCGCGGUAAUACGUAGGGAGCGAGCGUUAUCCGGAUUCAUUGGGCGUAAAGCGCGCGUAGGCGGCUUGCUAAGCGGAACCUCUAAUCCGAGGGCUCAACCCCCGGCCGGGUUCCGAACUGGCAGGCUCGAGUGCGGUAGGGGCAAGUGGAAUUCCAUGUGUAGCGGUGGAAUGCGCAGAUAUAUGGAAGAACACCGAUGGCGAAGGCAGCUUGCUGGGCCGACACUGACGCUGAGGUGCGAAAGCGUGGGGAGCGAACAGGAUUAGAUACCCUGGUA